rnacentral:misc_RNA from 1 species
UCCGGUUUGUCACCGGCAGUCUCCUAUGAGUCCCCGUCUUUCACGCUGGCAACUAGGGACAGGGGUUGCGCUCGUUACGGGACUUAACCCAACAUUUCACAACACGAGCUGACGACAGCCAUGCAGCACCUGUCACUGCGCUCCCGAAGGCACCAAGGUGUCUCCACCAAGUUCGCAGGAUGUCAAGGGGUGGUAAGGUUUUUCGCGUUGCAUCGAAUUAAACCACAUGCUCCACCGCUUGUGCGGGCCCCCGUCAAUUCAUUUGAGUUUUAACCUUGCGGCCGUACUCCCCAGGCGGUCUACUUAAUGCGUUAGCUGCGGCACAGAAACCCGGGAAAGGGUCCCCACACCUAGCGCCCAACGUUUACAGCAUGGACUAC